ACACGUUACAGAUGGUAAGCUAACAACAAGCCCGUCCACACUGUGUCGGAAUUUCAGUUUUACCGGACCAAAUUCCUUAAAGAAAAACAACAAGGCCUUGGAAUGUUCCACAGAAAUGACAGGGGAUGCAAUUGUCAUGAAAAGAACAGAUUAUGGACCAUUGAGGCUGUUUGAGUUGUAUCCCAUGAUUUGUCCCGAAAACCACUACGGACCAAACUGCACUAAAUGCAAAGCAGAGUGUAUACCCUGUAGUCCUAUCACUGGUGUAUGUUUGAAUUCGAUGUGUGACCAAAAAACAGGUAGAUGUGAAGAUUGGAAAACAGAAAUGGUUACAUACAGUACCGCCUCUGACGAAGACACACCUAGUACUAAGGAAAUGAACGUCAUUCAAGAUUUGAAAACAGAAAGGGCUACACACAGCACC